rnacentral:snRNA from 1 species
GUGCUUGCUUCAGCAACAUUUAUAGUAAAAUUGGAACGAUGCAGAGAUGAAUAAAGAGCAAGCUGCAUGAAUACGAAUGACAAACAAAUACGUAAAGCUGAGAAUUUCUUU